rnacentral:rRNA from 1 species
GAUGAACGCUGGCGGCGUGCCUAAUACAUGCAAGUCGAGCGAACAGACGAGGAGCUUGCUCCUCUGACGUUAGCGGCGGACGGGUGAGUAACACGUGGAUAACCUACCUAUAAGACUGGGAUAACUUCGGGAAACCGGAGCUAAUACCGGAUAAUAUAUUGAACCGCAUGGUUCAAUAGUGAAAGACGGUUUUGCUGUCACUUAUAGAUGGAUCCGCGCCGCAUUAGCUAGUUGGUAAGGUAACGGCUUACCAAGGCGACGAUGCGUAGCCGACCUGAGAGGGUGAUCGGCCACACUGGACCUGAGACACGGUCCAGACUCCUACGGGAGGCAGCAGUAGGGAAUCUUCCGCAAUGGGCGAAAGCCUGACGGAGCUACGCCGCGUGAGUGAUGAAGGUCUUCGGAUCGUAAAACUCUGUUAUUAGGGAAGAACAAAUGUGUAAGUAACUAUGCACGUCUUGACGGUACCUAAUCAGAAAGCCACGGCUAACUACGUG